GACGAACGCUGGCGGCGUGCUUAACACAUGCAAGUCGAACGGAAAGGCCCUGCUUUUGUGGUGUGCUCGAGUGGCGAACGGGUGAGUAACACGUGAGUAACCUGCCCUUGACUUUGGGAUAACUUCAGGAAACUGGGGCUAAUACCGGAUAGGAGCUCCUGCUGCAUGGUGGGGGUUGGAAAGUUUCGGCGGUUGGGGAUGGACUCGCGGCUUAUCAGCUUGUUGGUGGGGUAGUGGCUUACCAAGGCUUUGACGGGUAGCCGGCCUGAGAGGGUGACCGGCCACAUGGGGACUGAGAUACGGCCCAGACUCCUACGGGGGGCAGCAGUGGGGAAUAUUGCACAAUGAGCGGAAGCCGGAUGCAGCAACGCCGCGUGCGGGAUGACGGCCUGCGGGUUGAAAACCGCUUUCGCCUGUGACGAAGCGUGAGUGACGGUAAUGGGUAAAGAAGCACCGGCUAACUACGUG
rnacentral:rRNA from 1 species